rnacentral:SRP_RNA from 1 species
GCCGGGCGCGGUGGCUCACGCCUGUAAUCCCCAGCACUUUGGGAGGCCGAGACGGGCGGAUCACGAGGUCAGGAGAUCGAGACCAUCCUGGCUAACAUGGUAAAACCCCGUCUCUACUANNNNNNNNNNUAGUAGAGACGGGGUUUUACCAUGUUAGCCAGGAUGGUCUCGAUCUCCUGACCUCGUGAUCCGCCCGUCUCGG